UCCACCUGCCUCAGCCUUCCAAAGUGCUGGGAUUACAGGCACACGCCACCGUGCCCAGCCGGCCUCCCACUUCUUAUAAGGACAUAAAUCAUCUUUGAUUAAAGGCUCCACUCACUCCAGUAUGAUCUCAUCUUAACUAACUGCAUCUGCAAUGACCCCGUUUCCAAAUAAGGUUAUAGUCUAAGACUUCAGCAUAUCUUUUUUUAGGGGACAGAAUUCAACCCAUAUCAGCAUCUCUGCCAUUAGUUAGCAGUGGGAUGCCUCAAGUCAUGCAACCUCUGCUUCAGGUUUUUCAGCUGUAGGAAUGAGAAUACCAGCGUGAUACGGCUAGGAAGUGGAACACGUGGGAUCAUGAACUUUCCACUGCGGUACUUGGCCCAUGGAGCUAGAUAUGCACAUCAACAGUGACGCUCUCCUCAGCAGCAUUCUCCUGGGUGCCCAAAGGCUAUUAAUACAGCCCCCUCAUCCUUCCCCCACCCCACCAAGCUGCCCCCACACUGACUGCCCUGUAGGAGAGCUUAGCUCUUCCCUAGAGAUCUAGUUUUUAUUAAUAAAAGACAACCGGAGCCUUUCAGAAGGUUAGGCUUAAGGGUCCAUUAUUUAAGUGCCAUUGCCUGUGAUGAGUCUUUGAGUAAUAGGAGUGCUAAGUGCAUACUGGGCAGGACGACCCGGGUGAGUCGAACAUGCAGAAAAGAUUCAACACACAGCCCUUUCUGACCUCACAGUGACUUUGCACUAAGUGCAAAUCAAUCUUCCCGAGGCAAUUUCCUGUUGCCAGGACAGAGCUGUCUCCCCUCUUCUCGCCCUCCUGCUGCUGUGCUCCUGCUUCAUGCUGGCUCCGACAAAGGGGUGAGUGUUCAACAUUUCUCUUAAUUGAUGCUGUGACAGGUCUUUUGCUGACAUAUC
rnacentral:lncRNA from 1 species